rnacentral:rRNA from 1 species
AUUGAACGCUGGCGGCAGGCCUAACACAUGCAAGUCGAACGAGUGGCGGACGGGUGAGUAAUGUCUGGGAAACUGCCUGAUGGAGGGGGAUAACUACUGGAAACGGUAGCUAAUACCGCAUACCCUCCGUUGCGCCCAGAUGGGAUUAGCUAGUUGGUGGGGUAACGGCUCACCAAGGCGACGAUCCCUAGCUGGUCUGAGAGGUUGACCAGCCACACUGGAACUGAGAGACGGUCCAGACUCCUACGGGAGGCAGCAGGGGGGAAUAUUGCACAAUGGGCGCAGUCCUGAUGCAGCCAUUCCGCGUGUAUGAAGAAGGCCUUCGGGUGGUAAAGUACUUUCAGCGGGGAGGCGUUACCCGCAGAAGAAGCACCGGCUAACUCCGUGCCAGCAGCCGCGGUAAUUC